AGGUUGCAAUGUAGAGACAACAACAUAUGGACUAUGGAGAAGCUGUACAAGGCCAACCAUGUCGGGGGGAGUACGAACAUUAUCUACGGUGAAAAGGGAUUAUGAUCAAAGAAAGGUUGGAAUUGAUAAUGAUCAUUGAAAGAAAGGGAUUAUGUCCAAUUUUAGUUGUAUUUAUGGUUGAGUAAAUAUUGUCUUAACUUGUAUUUGAGAAAUCAUGGGAGCACUAACCAUGACUUUAGGUUUUUAUAGUAGGAGGUACUUUUUAGUAUCCAUAGAAUGGAGGUAAUCCACUAUGCAUUUAUGUAAAACUACAAACAUAACAUUUGAAUAAAGGAUCAUGUAUUUGCCUCACUUUUAUUUCAAAUAUAUAAUUUGAAUAUUAAAUUUGGUCAAAAUAUUUUCAAAAUUAUUGUCUUUAUUAGAAACUGUUGCCUAUA
rnacentral:lncRNA from 1 species